CAGGUCACUCCUACGGGAGGCAGCAGUGGGGAAUUUUGGACAAUGGGGGCAACCCUGAUCCAGCAAUGCCGCGUGAGUGAUGAAGGCCUUAGGGUUGUAAAGCUCUUUUGCCAGGGACGAUGAUGACGGUACCUGGAAAAUAAGCCCCGGCUAACUUCGUGCCAGCAGCCGCGGUAAUACGAAGGGGGCUAGCGUUGUUCGGAAUUACUGGGCGUAAAGGGCGCGUAAGCCGUCUGAUAAAUUAGAUGUGAAAUUCCCGGGCUUAACCUGGGGGCUGCCUUUGAUACUGUCAGGCUUGAAUCCGCGAGAGGAUAGUGUAAUUCCCAGUGUAUAGGUGAAAUUCGUAGAUAUGGGAAGAGACCCCUGGCGAAUGCGGCUAUUUGGACUGGCAUUGACACUCAGGCGCGAAAGCGUGGGGAGCAAACAGGAUUAUAUACCCUGGUAGUCCCCGCCCUAUACGAUAAACGCUAUACGCUUGUACGUUUACCUAUCGGUGUCCCAGCUAACGCAUUAAGCAUUCCGCCUGGGGAGUA
rnacentral:rRNA from 1 species